AUGCAUGCAGUAGGGAAUCUUCCACAAUGGACGAAAGUCUGAUGGAGCAACGCCGCGUGAGCGAUGAAGGNNUUCGGAUCGUAAAGCUCUGUUGUUAAGGAAGAACAAGUGNCGAGGAGUAACUGCUACGCUCCUUGACGGUACCUAACCAGAAAGC
rnacentral:rRNA from 1 species